AACAAACGCUGGCGGCGUGCCUAAUACAUGCAAGUCGAACGAGGUAGCAAUACCUAGUGGCGCACGGGUGAGUAACGCGUGGAUAAUCUGCCUUUGAGUGGGGGAUAACUAGUCGAAAGAUUAGCUAAUACCGCAUAAGACCACAGGAACUGAGGUUCUAGGGGUUAAAGGUUUUUCGCUCAUAGAUGAGUCCGCGUGAGAUUAGCUAGUUGGUGAGGUAACGGCUCACCAAGGCGACGAUCUCUAACUGGUCUGAGAGGAUGAUCAGUCGCACUGGAACUGAGACACGGUCCAGACUCCUACGGGAGGCAGCAGUAGGGAAUAUUGCACAAUAGAGGAAACUCUGAUGCAGCGACGCCGCGUGAGUGAUGAAGGCUUUCGGGUCGUAAAGCUCUGUCGCAGGGGAAUAACACAAUGAAUGUACCCUGUAAGAAAGGAUCGGCUAACUUCGUGCCAGCCGCCGCGGUAA
rnacentral:rRNA from 1 species